rnacentral:rRNA from 1 species
UACAGAGGUGGCAAGCGUUGUUCGGAAUUACUGGGCGUAAAGGGCGCGUAGGCGGCCUUCUAAGUCAGACGUGAAAUCCCCAGGCUUAACUUGGGAACUGCGUCUGAUACUGGGAGGCUUGAGUGCGGGAGAGGGAUGUGGAAUUCCAGGUGUAGCGGUGAAAUGCGUAGAUAUCUGGAGGAACACCGGUGGCGAAGGCGACAUCCUGGACCGGUAUUGACGCUGAGGCGCGAAAGCCAGGGGAGCAAACGGG